rnacentral:rRNA from 1 species
AUGACCAACGAUCAAUGGAUUGCGAACAUUGACAGCUCCAAUGGCCUCUCCCUUGAACACAUACAACAAUUUGCUAACCUUUGGGACAAACUAGCAACAGUGGCCCUCGAUGACGACGUUGAAGACUCAAUUAUAUGGAAGUUCACCAAAGAUGGGAUAUAUUCUGCAUCCUCGGCUUACAAGGCUCAAUUUGAAGGCCUCACCACCUCGGACCUUGUCCAUUCAGUGUGGACGAAGUGGGCGCCCCCUCGGUGCAAGUUUUUUGCUUGGCUCGUUCUUCAAGAUAGGAUUUGGACUUCGGACCGCUUGAGCCGCCAGGGUUGGCCUAAUUGCGGUCUAUGCCCUCUUUGCAAGCAAACCCAAGAAACCGCGCCUCAUCUGCUCUUCCAGUGCCGCUACACCAUGCGCAUUUGGAAUGACCUCUUCAUAUGGCUCGGCAUGCAUCACAUCACCACGUCUACUUGGGUGACAAGGGCUUUGGUCAGAGAAUGGUGGAAUGCUAACCUGAAGAUCCGUCUCGGCUCGCCCAAGGCGCUCGCCUCCCUCAUGAUGCUCAUCUCUUGGGAGGUUUGGUCGGAGCACAAUGCUAGAGUCUUUCGUAAGUCAGCGGCCCCUUCCAUGACCAUCAUCGACAAAAUCAAGCAGGAGGUAUCGCUUUGGGCUAUGGCUGGAGCGAAACAUUUGGGUGUUGUAAUGCCGCGAGAGUAG